GCGGGCGUGGCGGAACUGGCAGACGCACAAGAUUUAGGAUCUUGCUCCGAAAGGAAUGCAGGUUCGACCCCUGUCGCCCGCACCA
rnacentral:tRNA from 1 species